rnacentral:misc_RNA from 1 species
CAACUAUCAAACUACUCAGUUUGUGGCUUGUGGGCGGUGCAUUUAGGCUGACGUCACGGUGAAAUCAAUAUAUAAAGGUCGUCACGUUCAUUCACGAUGUCAGAGUCACCUACAAAGAAGAGCAAGAUGGCCACGUCCCUGGACCAGCUGAAGGAGGUGACGGUGGUGGUGGCGGACACCGGAGACUUUGAGACCAUGAAGAAGUACAAGCCAACAGAUGCCACCACAAACCCCUCACUCAUCCUUCAGGCAGCCAACAUGCCCCAGUAUGCUUCACUCAUUGAUGAAGCUGUGGAGUAUGGCAAGGGCAAAGGCCACAACAAAUCUGACAAGCUGACCCACGCAAUGGAUAAGUUGUUUGUGUUGUUUGGAUGUGAGAUCCUGAAGAUCGUUCCUGGGAGGGUCAGCAUUGAGGUGGAUGCUCGACUGAGUUUUGAUAAGGAAGCCAGCAUCACCAAAGCCCGCAAGUUCAUCUCCAUGUUUGCUGCUGAAGGUAUCGACAAGGAGCGUAUUCUGAUUAAGCUGGCAUCGACCUGGGAAGGAAUCCAAGCCGCAAAGGUGUUGGAGGAGGAACAUGGCAUUCAUUGCAACCUGACGCUGUUGUUCGGCUUCGCUCAGGCUGUGGCGUGUGCUGAAGCUGGAGUGACUCUCAUAUCUCCCUUUGUUGGUCGUAUUCUUGAUUGGUAUGUUGCAAACAGUGAGCAGAAGUCAUAUGAGCCUCAGGAUGACCCAGGAGUGAAGAGUGUCACCCGCAUCUACAACUACUAUAAAAAGUUUGGCUACAACACUGUUGUUAUGGGAGCUUCGUUCAGGAAUAGUGGUGAGAUCUGUGAACUUGCUGGUUGUGAUCUUCUGACCAUUGGCCCCAAAUUCCUCGAGGAACUGCAGAAUUCUAAAGAACCUAUCAUAGAACACCUGUCAGAGGCCAGUGCCAAAAAACAUGACUUGGAAAAGGUCGAGAUGAAAGAAGCCAAGUUCCGUUGGGAAAUGAAUGAAGAUCAGAUGGCCACUGACAAACUGUCCGAGGGAAUCCGCAAGUUUGCAGUUGAUGCAGUAAAGCUGGAGAAAAUGCUCCUGGAGAAGCUGAAGCAAUAUUGAAAAGCUUCUUCAGAUGGGCAGUGGACUAGACUGGAGGAAACUUGCACAGCUUGAUAAUGUGAGGAAAGGAACAUUGACCAGGGCUGCUACAGGACGGUCCCUCCUCUGCUGCUACAAGGCAUAGAAAGCUUACAUAUGAACUGAAAAGUUUUUAUUAUAUAUACCUACAUCAGCUGAAUUGCAUAAAAUUCAUGUACAGUACUAUUUACAAUAUCAUAAAUUACCUAUGUUAAUAUUUUCAAAUUUAACUAUCAAUAAAUGUAGAUUUUUGUUUUGACAUUAA